rnacentral:lncRNA from 1 species
UUGUCGGCCUAAAGGAGCAAACAUCCUGUCUCGUAGCGGGAAGCUAGAUUAGGAAGAGUCAUGUUCGAAAUUAGGGAAGGUUGAGUUUGAUCGAAUCAUAUUCGAAACCUACGGGCGCUAUAUCUGUAUGCUUUAAGUGAGUUAGUUAUAUAUUUCUAACAGCUCGAUAUUUUGAUAUUAAUGAUUAGCACCAACGAUCCUACAAAUUGUAUCAAAGCAGGAGGUCCUGUAUGUUGCAAAUUUGUACAUAUGCUGGAAAAAAUUAUUGGCUUAAAAAGGCCAGCAUCCUACCUCGUAGCGGGAGGCUGGGUUGGGCCGAAUCAUAAUCGAAGCCCAUGGAUGCUUCGUUUAUACAUUUUGAAUGAAUUGAUUACAUAUAUAUUUCUAACAACUCGAUAUUUUUGAAAUUAAUGAUUAACAUCAGCGAUCCUACAAAUGAUAUCAAAGUAAGAGGUCCCGCAUAUUGCGAAUUUAUGCAGACGCUGGAAAGGAUUGUUGGCUUCAAGAGGCCAGCAUCAAGCCUCAUAGCGGGAGACUGGGUUGGAUCGAGUCAUAAUUGAAGCGCGCGCCCAUGGAUACUCUAUUUGUACAUGUUAAGUAAAUUGAUUACAUAUAUAGUUGAGCUUUUAGAAUUAAUGAUUAGGACUAACGAUCCGACAAGAAUAAAUAAAAGUAAAAUACAAGCUAAAAUAUUGACUAAACUAAACAGUGUGAUUCAUAUAGAAAUUUUAACAAUAUGAUGCCGACCAUCGGAGGCAUCGUCCGUUUGCCAAUCAUCUAUCACAUCUUAUUUUUCAAUUUGCAUUGUCACGCUAAGUUGCAGU